UUAGAGGCACAGACUAUGAAAAGCUGAGUUAGUGCGCCCGGGACGCCAGGCAAGCAGCCUGUCGUCUCCUCGGAGGAUGCUUUUACAGUUUGGCAUCUUAUUGCAGGUGCUUCGUGCACAGUCAGCUGAAAUAGCCAAUGCCAGGUGCUCCAACGACCUUAUUUCCUUGUUUUGUUGAUUAGAACAACACGGAAAAAAGCAAAUAUAAAUUUUUAAUGACUCCAUUUAAAAAUAUCACAGGGUCUCUCCGGCCCUUGGGCGCCCAGUCGGAGGUCGGGGCGGGAUGGGGCAGGAGUCUCGGGGCGGCCCGCGCUCCCCCUGCUAGUCCCCUCAUUGCCUCGGCCCCGUCCCCGCAGCCUCGGGGCGGGAGGGCGCAGGGGUCCCCGGGUGCCCUGGGAGCCCAUCUCCCUCAGGUCCGCGCCGGUGUCAGCCGCCGGCGGGGGGCGGGUGGAGAUUAAGAUGAGUGAUGCGAGGGACGGGGCCGAGGGUUUUGUGUAGAAGGAGAGCAGGAUUAGUGGAGAGAAAGUGCUGACCCGGGGUCAGCCGCAAGUCAAACCCUUUUACACUC
rnacentral:lncRNA from 1 species